rnacentral:rRNA from 1 species
CGCACGGGUGAGUAACACGUAUGCAACCUGGCCGUCACAGGUGGAUAACCGGAAGAAAUUCCGACUAAUACAGCAUAACACUCCUGAGGGACAUCCUUCGGGAGUCAAAGGAGGCAACUCCGGUGACGGAUGGGCAUGCGGCGCAUUAGCUAGACGGCGGGGUGACGGCCCACCGUGGCGACGAUGCGUAGGGGUUCUGAGAGGAAGGCCCCCCACACUGGGACUGAGACACGGCCCAGACUCCUACGGAAGGCAGCAG